GAUGAACGCUGGCGGCGUGCCUAAUACAUGCAAGUCGAGCGAACGGACGAGAAGCUGGCUUCUCUGAUGUUAGCGGCGGACGGGUGAGUAACACGUGGAUAACCUACCUAUAAGACUGGGAUAACUUCGGGAAACCGGAGCUAAUACCGGAUAAUAUUUUGAAACGCAUGGUUCAAAAGUGAAAGACGGUCUUGCUGUCACUUAUAGAUUGAUCCGCGCUGCAUUAGCUAGUUGGUAAGGUAACGGCUUACCAAGGCAACGAUGCGUAGCCGACCUGAGAGGGUGAUCGGCCACACUGGAACUGAGACACGGUCCAGACUCCUACGGGAGGCACCAGUAGGGAAUCUUCCGCAAUGGGCGAAAGCCUGACGGAGCAACGCCGCGUGAGUGAUGAAGGUCUUCGGAUCGUAAAGCUCUGUUAUUAGGGAAGAACAUAUGUGUAAGUAACUGUGCACAUCUUGACGGUACCUAAUCAGAAAGCCACGGCUAACUACGUG
rnacentral:rRNA from 1 species